UACGAAGGGGGGCUAGCGUUGUUCGGAAUUACUGGGCGUAAAGCGCACGUAGGCGGAUAUUUAAGUCAGGGGUGAAAUCCCGGAGCUCAACUCCGGAACUGCCUUUGAUACUGGGUAUCUUGAGUAUGGAAGAGGUAAGUGGAAUUGCGAGUGUAGAGGUGAAAUUCGUAGAUAUUCGCAGGAACACCAGUGGCGAAGGCGGCUUACUGGUCCAUUACUGACGCUGAGGUGCGAAAGCGUGGGGAGCAAACAGG
rnacentral:rRNA from 1 species